AGUCUAGUCUGUGACCUGAGCCAUCAUGGUAGGGUGUCCAGGGUGAGGGGAGGGUGGUGUGAAUCCCCAGUAAUGCAGGUCCUUUCCAGGCCAGGCCCCUGGUCCCCAGGAGUGCGGGGAUGCCUGAGGUCUACUGCUGCCUUAUCCAGAGCUGCCAUCCCCGGCGAUGACUCAGAGUUCCUGUGGCCCCAGCAUCAUCCCUCCAUCCCUGGCUGUGAGGCAGGAGCAGAGUUGCAGACCUGAGAGGCCUUGAAUUUGUUUGAUAUAGGACUUUGCCACCAGACAAAGUGCUUUGCCUGUGAGGUCUGGCUUGGCCUGGCCUCUGAGAAAGAACAAACACAGACCUCACUGGAAGGAACCUGGAGAACGGGAGAGGAGAGGCUGCUGCUGUCUGCCCUCCCAGCAGCAGAUAUAAAGACAAUGGGCUUCUAAGUCCCCUAGAGUCCCAGCUGUGUAAUUUAAGGCGAGUUCAUCUCUCACAGCCUCAGUUUCCUCAUUUGCUGGCACCUGUCUUUCUCCUUCAUAGCCAUUGUCACUGUUGCAAUGAUAUCAACAAUGCUUACAUUUCAGAUAGAUCCCCAGCUGGGUUGAAAGGAACGUCAAGACCCUUCCUUUCUUAUGACCUAUGUAUCAACUCCCUUCUACCUUGCCUCCCUCCACUUGGAGCGAGUUCUAGUUGGUGAAAUGUAGCCAGAGGUUCCUGGAAAGGCUUUCCUUCUCAAGUAAAGCCUGGCUCAGAGAAAACCACUGGUCUCUUUCCUUUUCUUCCUCCUGACAUGAACAUGGGGCAGGAAGGAGCAUGGAGAAGACAAGAACAAGGCUCUCAGAAGGAAAUGGUGUGGCUGGAGCCAUGAGAACUGGUUGUGGAGGGGGCAAAUAUAAUUUCUGACCUACGUAAUGAUGUAUGCACAAGAAGCCUCUCUUGAAUGUAUUAAUUCAGUAAACAGUUAUGGAGUCCUUACAAUGUGCUAGUGGGACUUUGAAGAUGAAUCCAAAUUUGGAUCCUGGCCUGGAAAGGCUCAAAGCCCAAUAUGGGAGUGAUUCUGAGCAGAAACAAAGGGGAACGUAUGUCUUCAUUGUGACUCAGCGAGCAAAGAGAUGGAGUCUUUUCCAAGAAGAAAGUGGGAGAUUUGGGACCACUGACAUAUUUGGCCCACUGAUUCCAUUCCCCUAGACCAACACGUGUUCAUCAAAUUGCAUCACUCUUAUGGGGAACUUAAUGCAACUCCGGUGCCCAUUGCAUUAGUUUUUGAUGAUGGAAUUCUCUUUGUGAACUUGAACUUGAGGGGUCUGGCUACCCCUCUGAGACUUCUUUUUUGAGAUAAAAUCAUAUAACAUAAAAUUCGCCCUUUUAAUGUGUACAA
rnacentral:lncRNA from 1 species